GAUGAACGCUGGCGGCGUGCCUAAUACAUGCAAGUCGAACGCUUCACUUCGGUGAAGAGUGGCGAACGGGUGAGUAAUACAUAAGUAACCUGGCAUCUACAGGGGGAUAACUGAUGGAAACGUCAGCUAAGACCGCAUAGGUGUAGAGAUCGCAUGAACUCUAUAUGAAAAGUGCUACGGGACUGGUAGAUGAUGGACUUAUGGCGCAUUAGCUUGUUGGUAGGGUAACGGCCUACCAAGGCGACGAUGCGUAGCCGACCUGAGAGGGUGACCGGCCACACUGGGACUGAGACACGGCCCAGACUCCUACGGGAGGCAGCAGUAGGGAAUUUUCGGCAAUGGGGGAAACCCUGACCGAGCAACGCCGCGUGAAGGAAGAAGUAUUUCGUUAUGUAAACUUCUGUCAUAGAGGAAGAACGGUGGAUAUAGGGAAUGAUAUCCAAGUGACGGUACUCUAUAAGAAAGCCACGGCUAACUACGUG
rnacentral:rRNA from 1 species